rnacentral:rRNA from 1 species
UAGGGAAUCUUCCACAAUGGACGGAAGUCUGAUGGAGCAACGCCGCGUGAGCGAAGAAGGUUUUCGGAUCGUAAAGCUCUGUUGUGAGGGAAGAACAAGUAUAGGAGUAACUGCCUGUACCUUGACGGUACCUCAUUAGAAAGCCACGGCUAACUACGUGCCAGCAGCCGCGGUAAUACGUAGGUGGCAAGCGUUGUCCGGAAUUAUUGGGCGUAAAGCGCGCGCAGGCGGCCUUUUAAGUCUGAUGUGAAAGCCCACGGCUUAACCGUGGAAGGUCAUUGGAAACUGGAAGGCUUGAGUACAGAAGAGGAAAGCGGAAUUCCACGUGUAGCGGUGAAAUGCGUAGAGAUGUGGAGGAACACCAGUGGCGAAGGCGGCUUUCUGGUCUGUAACUGACGCUGAGGCGCGAAAGCGUGGGGAGCAAACAGGAUUAGAUACCCUGGUAGUCCACGCCGUAAACGAUGAGUGCUAAGUGUUAGGGGGUUU